rnacentral:rRNA from 1 species
CCGGCACGGGUGAGUAACACGUAUCCAACCUGCCGUCUACUCUUGGCCAGCUCUGAAAGGAAGAUUAAUCCAGGAUGGCAUCAUGAGUUCACAUGUCCGCAUGAUUAAAGGUAUUUUCCGGUAGACGAUGGGGAUGCGUUCCAUUAGAUAGUAGGCGGGGUAACGGCCCACCUAGUCAACGAUGGAUAGGGGUUCUGAGAGGAAGGUCCCCCACAUUGGAACUGAGACACGGUCCAA